rnacentral:rRNA from 1 species
GAAGAGUUUGAUCCUGGCUCAGGAUGAACGCUAGCGAUAGGCCUAACACAUGCAAGUCGAGGGGCAUCACGUCUUCGGAUGGUGGCGACCGGCGCACGGGUGAGUAACACGUAUGCAACCUGCCUUUAACAGGGGGAUAGCCCUAAGAAAUUGGGAUUAAUACCGCAUAAAACAGGGAUACCGCAUGGUAUUAUUAGUUAAAGAUUUAUCGGUUAAAGAUGGGCAUGCGCUGGAUUAGAUAGUUGGUAAGGUAACGGCUUACCAAGUCGGCGAUCCAUAGGGGAACUGAGAGGUUAGUCCCCCACACUGGUACUGAGACAGGGACCAGACUCCUACGGGAGGCAGCAGUGAGGAAUAUUGGUCAAUGGUCGAGAGACUGAACCAGCCAAAUCGCGUGAAGGAAGACGGUAUUAUGUAUUGUAAACUUCUUUUGAGAGGGAAUAAAGUGCGGGACGUGUCCUGUUUUGUAUGUACCUUUCGAAUAAGCAUCGGCUAACUCCGUGCCAGCAGCCGCGGUAAUACGGAGGAUGCGAGCGUUAUCCGGAUUUAUUGGGUUUAAAGGGUGCGUAGGUGGGCUGAUAAGUCAGCGGUGAAAUCUUGUCGCUUAACGACAAAACUGCCGUUGAAACUGUCAGUCUUGAGUGUAAACGAGGCAGGCGGAAUUCGUAGUGUAGCGGUGAAAUGCAUAGAUAUUACGAAGAACCCCGAUAGCGCAGGCAGCUUGCCAGGCUACAACUGACACUGAAGCACGAAAGUGCGGGUAUCAAACAGGAUUAGAUACCCUGGUAGUCCGCACAGUAAACGAUGAUUACUCGCUGUUUGCGAUAUACAGUAAGCGGCCAAGCGAAAGCGAUAAGUAAUCCACCUGGGGAGUACGCCGGCAACGGUGAAACUCAAAGGAAUUGACGGGGGCCCGCACAAGCGGAGGAACAUGUGGUUUAAUUCGAUGAUACGCGAGGAACCUUACCCGGGCUCGAACGGUGUUUGAAUAUUUGUGAAAGCAGGUAGCCAGCAAUGGCAGACAUCGAGGUGCUGCAUGGUUGUCGUCAGCUCGUGCCGUGAGGUGUCGGCUUAAGUGCCAUAACGAGCGCAACCCUUAUUUUCAGUUACCAUCAGGUCAAGCUGGGGACUCUGGAAAGACUGCCACCGUAAGGUGAGAGGAAGGUGGGGAUGACGUCAAAUCAGCACGGCCCUUACGUCCGGGGCGACACACGUGUUACAAUGGGGGGGACAGAAGGCAGCUACCGGGCGACCGGAUGCGAAUCCUAUAAACCCCCUCCCAGUUCGGAUCGAAGUCUGCAACCCGACUUCGUGAAGCUGGAUUCGCUAGUAAUCGCGCAUCAGCCAUGGCGCGGUGAAUACGUUCCCGGGCCUUGUACACACCGCCCGUCAAGCCAUGGAAGCCGGGGGUACCUGAAGUACGUAACCGAUAAGGAGCGUCCUAGGGUAAAACCGGUAACUGGGGCUAAGUCGUAACAAGGUAGCCGUACCGGAAGGUGCGGCUGGAACACCUCCUUU